UCGAGUGGCGGACGGGUGAGUAACGCGUGGGGAACCUGCCUCAUACAGGGGGAUAACAGUUGGAAACGACUGUUAAUACCGCAUAAGACCACAGAGUCGCAUGACUCAGGGGUAAAAACUCCGGUGGUAUGAGAUGGACCCGCGUUCGAUUAGCCAGUUGGCGGGGUAACGGCCCACCAAAGCGACGAUCGAUAGCCGAUUUGAGAGAAUGACCGGCCACAUUGGGACUGAGACACGGCCCAA
rnacentral:rRNA from 1 species